rnacentral:misc_RNA from 1 species
ACAAACUUGGUCAUUUAGAGGAAGUAAAAGUCGUAACAAGGUUUCCGUAGGUGAACCUGCGGAAGGAUCAUUAACGAGUUAGGGUCUCACAGGCCCGACCUCCCAACCCUUUGUUUACUUGACCGUUUGUUGCUUCGGCAGGCCCGUCCUCGGACCGCCGGAGGAUCGUCGAGAGGCGUCCUCUGGCCCGCGCCUGCCGGUAGCCCAACCAAACUCUUGAAUAAUCGUGGUCAUAUCUAAGUCGUUUUUUAAUCAAAACAAAAACUUUCAACAACGGAUCUCUUGGUUCUGGCAUCGAUGAAGAACGCAGC